rnacentral:rRNA from 2 species
UGGCGAACGGGUGAGUAACACGUGAGUAACCUGCCCUUGACUUUGGGAUAGCUUCAGGAAACUGGGGCUAAUACCGGAUAGGAGCUCCUGCUGCAUGGUGGGGGUUGGAAAGUUUCGGCGGUUGGGGAUGGACUCGCGGCUUAUCAGCUUGUUGGUGGGGUAGUGGCUUACCAAGGCUUUGACGGGUAGCCGGCCUGAGAGGGUGACCGGCCACAUUGGGACUGAGAUACGGCCCAG